GACGAACGCUGGCGGCGUGCCUAAUACAUGCAAGUAGAACGCUGAAGGAGGAGCUUGCUUCUCUGGAUGAGUUGCGAACGGGUGAGUAACGCGUAGGUAACCUGCCUGGUAGCGGGGGAUAACUAUUGGAAACGAUAGCUAAUACCGCAUAAGAGUAGAUGUUGCAUGACAUUUGCUUAAAAGGUGCAAUUGCAUCACUACCAGAUGGACCUGCGUUGUAUUAGCUAGUUGGUGGGGUAACGGCUCACCAAGGCGACGAUACAUAGCCGACCUGAGAGGGUGAUCGGCCACACUGGGACUGAGACACGGCCCAGACUCCUACAGGAGGCAACGGUAGGGAAUCUUCGGCAAUGGACGGAAGUCUGACCGAGCAACGCCGCGUGAGUGAAGAAGGUUUUCGGAUCGUAAAGCUCUGUUGUAAGGGAAGAACGAGUGUGAGAAUGGAAAGUUCACACUGUGACGGUAUCUUACCAGAAAGGGACGGCUAACUACGUG
rnacentral:rRNA from 1 species